rnacentral:rRNA from 1 species
AUUGAACGCUGGCGGCAUGCCUUACACAUGCAAGUCGAACGGCAGCGGGGGAGAAGCUUGCUUUUCCUGCCGGCGAGUGGCGAACGGGUGAGUAAUACAUCGGAACGUGCCCUGUAGUGGGGGAUAACUAGUCGAAAGAUUAGCUAAUACCGCAUACGACCUGAGGGUGAAGGUGGGGGACCGCAAGGCCUCAUGCUAUAGGAGCGGCCGAUGUCUGAUUAGCUAGGUGGUGGGGUAAAGGCCUACCAAGGCGACGAUCAGUAGCUGGUCUGAGCGGACGAUCAGCCACACUGGGACUGAGACAUGGCCCAGACUCCUACGGGAGGCAGCAGUGGGGAAUUUUGGACAAUGGGCGAAAGCCUGAUCCAGCAAUGCCGCGUGUGUGAAGAAGGCCUUCGGGUUGUAAAGCACUUUUGUCCGGAAAGAAAUGGCUCUGGUUAAUACCUGGGGUCGAUGACGGUACCGGAAGAAUAAGGACCGGCUAACUACGUGCCAGCCGCCGCGGUAA